rnacentral:tRNA from 2 species
GGGGCUGUAGCUCAGCUGGGAGAGCGCGUCGUUCGCAAUGACGAGGUCAGGGGUUUGAUUCCCCUCAGCUCCACCA